rnacentral:rRNA from 1 species
GAUGAACGCUGGCGGCGUGCCUAAUACAUGCAAGUCGAGCGAACGGACGAGAAGCUUGCUUCUCUGAUGUUGGCGGCGGACGGGUGAGUAACACGUGGAUAACCUACCUAUAAGACUGGGAUAACUUCGGGAAACCGGAGCUAAUACCGGAUAAUAUUUUGAACCGCAUGGUUCAAAAGUGAAAGACGGCCUUGCUGUCACUUAUAGAUGGAUCCGCGCUGCAUUAGCUAGUUGGUAAGGUAACGGCUUACCAAGGCAACGAUGCAUAGUCGACCUGAGAGGGUGAUCGGCCACACUGGAACUGAGACACGGUCCAGACUCCUACGGGAGGCAGCAGUAGGGAAUCUUCCGCAAUGGGCGAAAGCCUGACGGAGCAACGCCGCGUGAGUGAUGAAGGUCUUCGGAUCGUAAAACUCUGUUAUUAGGGAAGAACAUAUGUGUAAGUAACUGUGCACAUCUUGACGGUACCUAAUCAGAAAGCCACGGCUAACUACGUG